UACGGAGGGGGCUAGCGUUGUUCGGAAUUACUGGGCGUAAAGCGCACGUAGGCGGUUUUGUAAGUUAGAGGUGAAAGCCUGGGGGCUCAACCUCCAGAACUGCCUUUGAUACUGAGAGGCUUGAGUCCGGGAGAGGUGAGUGGAACUGCGAGUGUAGAGGUGAAAUUCGUAGAUAUUCGCAAGAACACCAGUGGCGAAGGCGGCUCACUGGCCCGGUACUGACGCUGAGGUGCGAAAGCGUGGGGAGCAACAGGAU
rnacentral:rRNA from 1 species